rnacentral:rRNA from 1 species
UGGGGAAUCUUGCGCAAUGGGCGAAAGCCUGACGCAGCAACGCCGCGUGGAGGAAGAAGGCCUUCGGGUUGUAAACUCCUGUCAGGGGGAAAGAAGGCACCUGGGUGAAUAGCCCAAGGGCUGACGGUACCCCCAGAGGAAGCCACGGCUAACUACGUGCCAGCAGCCGCGGUAAUACGUAGGUGGUGAGCGUUGUCCGGAAUUAUUGGGCGUAAAGAGCGCGUAGGCGGCUUGUCAGGUCCAACGUGAAAUCCCGGGGCUCAACCCCGGACGUGCGUGGAAACCGGCUUGCUAGAGUCUGGGAGAGGGAAGUGGAAUUCCUGGUGUAGCGGUGAAAUGCGCAGAUAUCAGGAGGAACACCGGUAGCGAAGGCUGCUUCCUGGAACAGUACCGACGCUGAGGCGCGAAAGCUAGGGGAGCAAACAG